UACGUAGGCAGCGAGCGUUGUUCGGAGUUACUGGGCGUAAAGGGUGUGUAGGCGGUUUUCUAAGUUUGGUGUGAAAUCUCCUGGCUCAACCGGGAGGGUGCGCCGAAAACUGGGAGACUAGAGUGCGGGAUGGGAGAGUAGAAUUCCUGGUGUAGCGGUGAAAUGCGUAGAUAUCAGGAGGAAUACCGGUGGUGUAGACGGCUCUCUGGACCGCCACUGACGCUGAGACACGAAAGCGUGGGUAGCAAACAGG
rnacentral:rRNA from 1 species